UUAUGCAGGUUCACUUUUGAAUUCUGGAAUCCAGUAAAGAGAAUUCAUUUGCGUUGCUUUUGGGUCUUGAAUAUCUUAUCAACGUCCCAUAUGUAGAUGAUACCGAGGAUUUAAGGGUAAUUGUAUUUUGUUUUAAUAAAAGGCACACUAGAGAAGAUAUAGGCCCGAAGAACCCAACUCCUUCCUUUUUGGAAAAUUAAGAAAAGAAAUUGAGAACACGACAGGAAUACAUACUUUUUGUCAUGGUCAUUUGGGAUGCAUUAUAUCUCUGUGAAAUCACAACGGGAAAAGAUAACAAAGUUGUUAUUGCACGUAAUAUGAUGUAUGUUGUGGGAUAGUAUCCUCAUUUUUUAAGAGCUCAUUAGACGUUUCUAAAAGCUGUUGUGAAUAAUUUUCUUUAGAUUUUGCAUGAGACUCAUCCUGGAGUUCUGGUUAUGUUUUCUUCCUAUGUUUUCUGUCCUAAUUUUUCUUAUGUCAAUAGCUUAUCUUAUGUCCCUUUGCGUGUGCCUGUGUUUGUAUGCUCUGUGUCUGUACUCUGUGUUGUGUGCCUUUGUUUGCCUUUGAGUCCUUGUGUGUAUAUGCUGUGUUUUGUAUGUGUUUCUAUGUGCGUGUAUCUGUCCUUUUUGUGUUCACAGGUGGCAGCCUUUAGGUUUGGGAACACUACAAAUAUUCUUGAGGCAUAUUCAUAUAGUUCUAGUGAGGAACAAGUUCACAUUUGAAUUCUGGAAUCUAGUAAAGAGAAUAUAUCUGUUUUUCUUUUGGGUCUUGAAUGUCUUAUUAACGUCCCAUAUGUAGAUGGUACCAAGGAUUUUAAGGUAUGAUGAUGUUGACAUUCAUGUCUUAUGGUUGUCUAUUUCUUAUGUUAUGAUUAUGAUUUAUGAUUGCUGAAACUUGUGUUUUCAAAGUGUGAUAAAUGAUAGUAUACAUA